rnacentral:rRNA from 1 species
UACGUAGGGGGCAAGCGUUGUCCGGAUUUAUUGGGCGUAAAGAGCGUGUAGGCGGCCAGACAGGUCAGCUGUGAAAACUCGAGGCUCAACCUCGAGACGUCGGUUGAAACCGUCUGGCUAGAGUCCGGAAGAGGAGAGUGGAAUUCCCGGUGUAGCGGUGAAAUGCGCAGAUAUCGGGAAGAACACCCGUGGCGAAGGCGGCUCACUGGGACGGUACUGACGCUGAGACGCGAAAGCGUGGGGAGCGAACAGG